GACGAACGCUGGCGGCGUGCUUAACACGUGCAAGUCGAACGCUGAAGCUUGGUGCUUGCACUGGGUGGAUGAGUGGUGAACGGGUGAGUAAUACGUGAGUAACCUGCCCUUGACUCUGGGAUAAGCCUGGGAAACUGGGUCUAAUACUGGAUACGACAUGUCACCGCAUGGUGGUGUGUGGAAAGGGUUUUACUGGUUUUGGAUGGGCUCACGGCCUAUCAGCUUGUUGGUGGGGUAAUGGCUCACCAAGGCGACGACGGGUAGCCGGCCUGAGAGGGUGACCGGCCACACUGGGACUGAGACACGGCCCAGACUCCUACGGGAGGCAGCAGUGGGGAAUAUUGCACAAUGGGCGGAAGCCUGAUGCAGCGACGCCGCGUGAGGGAUGACGGCCUUCGGGUUGUAAACCUCUUUCAGCACGGAAGAAGCGAAAGUGACGGUACGUGCAGAAGAAGCGCCGGCUAACUACGUG
rnacentral:rRNA from 1 species